rnacentral:misc_RNA from 1 species
CCCAACCGAAAGGAGGGGGAUGCCUAAGGUAGGACUGAUGACUGGGGUGAAGUCGUAACAAGGUAGCCGUACCGGAAGGUGUGGCUGGAUCACCUCCUUUUAGGGAGACCUAAUCCAUUUAGAAAUCGAAAGCAGUGAAAAUUGUGGGUAGAAACUAAAUUGGUCUAACCUAGGUCGGUCGAGAUUGGAAAAAAUCUUUCAAAGUAUUAUUUGGCUUAGUUCAAUAGGAAAAAAAACAGCACCUAACUAUAAAAGUUAGACUGCUGGGUGAAAUUCCAGCCAGAACCUUGAAAACUGCAUAAGAGAACGAGAAAAAGCAGGCAGAAACAGACAUGAGAGUGUUUCGUGAAAGCCAAGAAAAAUUGUGGUCAAGCUAAUAAGGGCUAAUGGUG